AUUGAACGCUGGCGGCAUGCCUAACACAUGCAAGUCGAACGGCAGCGCGGGCUUCGGCCUGAUGGCGAGUGGCGGACGGGUGAGUAACACGUAGGAAUCUGCCUGGUAAUGGGGGAUAACCCGGGGAAACUCGGGCUAAUACCGCAUACGCUCUACGGAGGAAAGCGGGGGAUCUUCGGACCUCGCGUUAUCAGAUGAGUCUGCGUCCGAUUAGCUAGUUGGUGGGGUAAAGGCUCACCAAGGCGACGAUCGGUAGCUGGUCUGAGAGGACGAUCAGCCACACUGGAACUGAGACACGGUCCAGACUCCAACGGGAGGCAGCAGUGGGGAAUAUUGGACAAUGGGCGCAAGCCUGAUCCAGCAAUGCCGCGUGUGUGAAGAAGGCCUGCGGGUUGUAAAGCACUUUAAGCAGGAAAGAAGGCUUCAAGAUUAAUACCCUUGGAGAUUGACGUUACCUGCAGAAUAAGCACCGGCUAACUCCGUGCCAGCAGCCGCCGCAGUAA
rnacentral:rRNA from 1 species